rnacentral:rRNA from 1 species
UACGGGGGGGGCAAGCGUUGUUCGGAAUUACUGGGCGUAAAGGGCUCGUAGGCGGCCAACUAAGUCAGACGUGAAAUCCCUCGGCUUAACCGGGGAACUGCGUCUGAUACUGGAUGGCUAGAGUGUGGGAGAGGGAUGCGGAAUUCCAGGUGUAGCGGUGAAAUGCGUAGAUAUCGGAAGGAACACCAGUGGCGAAAGCGGCUUCCUGGUCCAGCACCGACGUUCAGGCACGAAAGCGUGGGGAGCAAACAGG